rnacentral:rRNA from 1 species
GGUGAACGCUGGCGGCGUGCCUAACACAUGCAAGUCGAACGGAGUUGCGAGAGCUUGCUUUUGUAACUUAGUGGCGAACGGGUGAGUAAUGCGUGAGCAAACCUGCCCUUCAGAGGGGGACAACAGUUGGAAACGACUGCUAAUACCGCAUAAUGUAUUUAGGAGGCAUCUCCUGGAUACCAAAGGAGAAAUCCGCUGAAGGAUGGGCUCACGUCUGAUUAGCUAGUUGGUGAGGUAACGGCUCACCAAGGCUGCGAUCAGUAGCCGGACUGAGAGGUUGAACGGCCACAUUGGGACUGAGAUACGGCCCAGACUCCUACGGGAGGCAGCAGUGGGGAAUAUUGGGCAAUGGGCGAAAGCCUGACCCAGCAACGCCGCGUGAAGGAAGAAAGGCCUUCGGGUU